rnacentral:piRNA from 1 species
UCCCAGGAGUCAACCUCCAGGAGCCUCCACGU